rnacentral:snoRNA from 1 species
AUCCUCUGGGUCUUUUUUCUCAUCAGAUCUUGACCCUGGUCUUUGUGGUCAUAUCGGAGAAGGAGUUCACUGAAGCUGUCUGCACAGCAAUGUAGUUUGGUGUAGGGCAUAGGCCCACAUUCUAACAUGC